AGCGAACGCUGGCGGCAGGCUUAACACAUGCAAGUCGAACGAACUCUUCGGAGUUAGUGGCGGUCGGGGGGGGAACACCGGGGAAGUUGCCCGUAGGUUCGGAACAAUUCAGUUUAAGUUGAGUUAAUACAGGAUGGGCUCUUCGCGGGAAAGAUUUCUUGCUUUUGGAGCGGGCCGCGUCUGAUUAGCCGGUUGGUGAGGUAAAGGCUGGUCAAGGCGACGUUCAGUGGCUGGUCUGAGAGGAGGACCAGCCACAUUGGGACUGAGACACGGCCCAAACUCCUACGGGGGGCUGCAGUAGGGAGUCUUGCGCAAUGGGCGAAAGCCUGACGCAGCCAUGCCGCGUGAAUGAUGAAGGUCUUAGGAUUGUAAAAUUCUUUCACCGGAGACGAUAGUGACGGUACCCGGAGAAGAAGCCCCGGCUAACUUCGUG
rnacentral:rRNA from 1 species